rnacentral:rRNA from 1 species
ACCGAAAGCCUGAUCCAGCCAUGCCGCGUGUGUGAAGAAGGUCUUCGGAUUGUAAAGCACUUUAAGUUGGGAGGAAGGGCAGUAAGUUAAUACCUUGCUGUUUUGACGUUACCAACAGAAUAAGCACCGGCUAACUUCGUGCCAGCAGCCGCGGUAAUACGAAGGGUGCAAGCGUUAAUCGGAAUUACUGGGCGUAAAGCGCGCGUAGGUGGUUCAUCAAGUUGGAUGUGAAAUCCCCGGGCUCAACCUGGGAACUGCAUCCAAAACUACUGAGCUAGAGUACGGUAGAGGGUGGUGGAAUUUCCUGUGUAGCGGUGAAAUGCGUAGAUAUAGGAAGGAACACCAGUGGCGAAGGCGACCACCUGGACUGAUACUGACACUGAGGUGCGAAAGCGUGGGGAGCAAACAGAAUUAGAUACCCUGGUAGUCCACGCAAA